ACUGAGCAGGAGAGUGGAUGCAGGUUGUGGGUUCCUGCCAGGGCCCCAGAGUGCAGAGGCUGAGUCCACUGCAGGACCCCAAUCAAUGGGAGACAGAGGGAGACAGGAGGCUGCUGCCCCUGGGGAAACUGUUGGAACUGGAUUCAAGGAAACAAUGUCCUCAAAUGAUGACAGCUGUUAAGUUUGCAAAGUAAAACUGAAGAUGAGGAAGGGCUAUGCCUGAAGAAAAAGUGCCUUUCUCUCCCCUUCCUCCCAGCCAAGCACUCUCCUGUCAACUCAGAUCUUGCUGUGACCUGAUGUACGUCUGUCGGUAAAUGUCUCCUCACCUUCACUACUGAUCGUGCAGUACCAAUGACAGAGGGAAGCCUUCAGCCAAUGACAGCCUCUGCACCUUCUCUGAAAGGAUUCUGGGAAAUUGAGUUCUUCUUUAGUCAGCAGUUCGUCUGAAUGUCAAUUUGCGUGUAAAGAAUAACUGCAAAUGACAAUAUGGCGUGACAUGUUUAUUAGUGUGGUGCCCAGAGAAUUGGUAUCAAGGUGGGGAUGGAGAAGGUAUUUAGAAAACAAACAGCUGGCAAACAUCUACAAGCCUGCAUUUUUUUUUAAAGUGCUGGCAGCAUCACCAGACUUGCAGCUGACAAUCCUAUGGGCAAACCCACAAUUUAUUUAUAGAGCAAUUACACUAGAGACAAACUUUUCCUGCCUGCCCUAGAGGCCCCUCCUUUACAGUCAGAUGGGAAUUCAGUUCACAUGAUCACCCAGUUGUUCGUACCUCUGCUGUGAUUACCAGUGAGUUCUAUAUUUGGGGUAGUUUUUAUGAUGUGGUCACUUGUUCACUAGGAAAUGGACUGUGUCCCUACCAACAACUCAUUUCACAUAAGCCACCAAACCUCUUUCAGAGUGUAACAAGUUUGGUCAUUACUGAUCUGGGUUGGAUUCAGUUCUCUGUAUCAGGUUUAUACUUUAAAAAAGAAAAUGUGGUGGUGAUUGGUAAAUUUCUCCCACGUUUUAAUGGUUUGACUGACUCUUGUGACAGUUUCUAAUGUAGUCAAAAGCCUCAUAAUGGGAUCUAAAGUUAGACUUCAUCUCCUCACUCUAAGAUAACUAAAACUGCAAUUCUUACUCUUCUGGAGACCAUUUUCUGUAAACGGACCUGCAUAUGGAGAUUUCAUAUGUUAACUUAUUAUUAAGCUUUGUUCUUUAUAAAGUAAGAAACCAGGCACUGUUUAGUGAAAUCUAACAAAAGUAAAUAAAUAUGCAACACAAUGGUGUGUCAAUGCUGUGCCCCAGUACAAUCUGAAAAAGGCUUCAAAGGCUGGAAAAGUAUGCAGAUAAAAUCUGCCCAAGCCCUCAGAUAGCAUUGUACUCACCUAUUUUCAGUUUGUGUACUUGGACUAACUUUUGCAUCGCCUCAUCAUGGGACACAGUUAGAUGACAGUGACAGUCUACCGCACAAUGUUCACCCUUUUUAUGAUAAAUUUUGUACAAGAUAUGCACUGUAUCAGUUGAAAAUUCACAGUCUGCUGUGCAUUAUUGUUCUGAUAAAAUAUGUGUAUCAGCAUUGUAUGCAGAAUUAUAAGAUUCUUACUCCUAGGGGAAUUCUGUGCCUAAAAAUUCUACACCCAUUAUUUUAAAAUUCAGCGUGUUUU